GGGCCCGCACAAGCGGUGGAGCAUGUGGUUUAAUUCGAUGCAACGCGAAGAACCUUACCAGGCCUUGACAUCCUCGGAACUUUCUAGAGAUAGAUUGGUGCCUUCGGGAACCGAGUGACAGGUGCUGCAUGGCUGUCGUCAGCUCGUGUCGUGAGAUGUUGGGUUAAGUCCCGUAACGAGCGCAACCCUUGUCCUUAGUUGCCAGCACAUUAUGGUGGGAACUCUAAGGAGACUGCCGAUGACAAAUCGGAGGAAGGUGGGGACGACGUCAAGUCAUCAUGGCCCUUACGUGUAGGGCUACACACGUGCUACAAUGGUAUCUACAACAGGAAGCAAGACUGCGAAGUUAAGCAAAUCCCUAAAAGAUACCUCAGUUCGGAUUGCACUCUGCAACUCGAGUGCAUG
rnacentral:rRNA from 1 species